UACGGGGGGAGCAAGCGUUGUUCGGAUUUACUGGGCGUAAAGGGCGCGUAGGCGGCCAGCGCAAGUCAGUUGUGAAAUCUCCGGGCUUAACUCGGAACGGUCAACUGAUACUGCGCGGCUAGAGUGCAGAAGGGGCAACUGGAAUUCUCGGUGUAGCGGUGAAAUGCGUUGAUAUCUACAGGAACUCCGGUGGCGAAAGCGGCGUGCUGGACCUUUUCUGACGCUGAGGCGCGAAAGCUAGGGGAGCAAACGGG
rnacentral:rRNA from 1 species